rnacentral:rRNA from 1 species
GAUGAACGCUGGCGGCGUGCCUAAUACAUGCAAGUCGAGCGAACAGACGAGGAGCUUGCUCCUCUGACGUUAGCGGCGGACGGGUGAGUAACACGUGGAUAACCUACCUAUAAGACUGGGAUAACUUCGGGAAACCGGAGCUAAUACCGGAUAAUCUAUUGAACCGCAUGGUUCAAUAGUGAAAGACGGUUUUGCUGUCACUUAUAGAUGGAUCCGCGCCGCAUUAGCUAGUUGGUAAGGUAACGGCUUACCAAGGCAACGAUGCGUAGCCGACCUGAGAGGGUGAUCGGCCACACUGGAACUGAGACACGGUCCAGACUCCUACGGGAGGCAGCAGUAGGGAAUCUUCCGCAAAGGGCGAAAGCCUGACGGAGCAACGCCGCGUGAGUGAUGAAGGUCUUCGGAUCGUAAAACUCUGUUAUUAGGGAAGAACAAAUGUGUAAGUAACUAUGCACGUCUUGACGGUACCUAAUCAGAAAGCCACGGCUAACUACGUG